UCAUGUCUUGUGUUCCAGACACUGGGUGCU
rnacentral:piRNA from 1 species